AAAUAGGAUGCAGACAGCAUUUGACCUGCGGCGACAGACCAUAGUGAAGACAUGCCCACCAGUGAAAAACCUCAUGGAACUCUGGCCUGCACUCAAAUAGAGUCUGAGGUGUAUUUAGAGUUCCAACGAAUUACAAUACAGAACCUGCCCAACAUAUUCUGCUCUGAGCUUGACCGACAUCUUCUUUCUGAAAAGAGUCAUCAGUCUAGAAAGACAACCAAAAUUGGGAAGACAUCAAAUGCUUUGACUGAAAUCCUAAGAAUCUACGAUUAACAGGAGGUACGUGACAUACACACCAAGUGUAUCACUGCACUUCAUCUCCUUCCAGUCUAUCAACAUGAGGACGUCUCAGGGUUCUUCAGGACCUGCACAGACACAUCUGAUGAGCCAGAGCUUUAAGAUGUUGUAAAGGCCCUCCUUACAGUCAUCAUAGAUGACGACACAAGUCCAGUUCACUUCAAGCCUGAGAAAAUCUGUCAUCAUUGAAAGCGAGAUUUGGUCAACCU